GCCUUCGUGGUGUAAUGGUUAGCACACUUGGCGCGUAUUCGAGAGGUCCGAGGUUCGAGUCCCGGCGAGGGCA
rfam:Stegodyphus mimosarum contig118812, whole genome shotgun sequence.